GAUGAACGCUGGCGGCGUGCCUAAUACAUGCAAGUCGAGCGAACAGAUGAGGAGCUUGCUCCUCUGACGUUAGCGGCGGACGGGUGAGUAACACGUGGAUAACCUACCUAUAAGACUGGGAUAACUUCGGGAAACCGGAGCUAAUACCGGAUAAUAUAUUGAACCGCAUGGUACAAUAGUGAAAGACGGUUUUGCUGUCACUUAUAGAUGGAUCCGCGCCGCAUUAGCUAGUUGGUAAGGUAACGGCUUACCAAGGCAACGAUGCGUAGCCGACCUGAGAGGGUGAUCGGCCACACUGGAACUGAGACACGGUCCAGACUCCUACGGGAGGCAGCAGUAGGGAAUCUUCCGCAAUGGGCGAAAGCCUGACGGAGCAACGCCGCGUGAGUGAUGAAGGUCUUCGGAUCGUAAAACUCUGUUAUUAGGGAAGAACAAAUGUGUAAGUAACUAUGCACGUCUUGACGGUACCUAAUCAGAAAGCCACGGCUAACUACGUG
rnacentral:rRNA from 1 species